CUUCUCCAUAACUCCUCCCACCUUUCUUGCUCUUAUCCUCUCAUGCACAUUAUCAUAAACACCCAACAACUGAUAGACCAUGAGUACAUCUCACAACGGUGCCCGUGACUUUGACUUCACAUUAGAGCUGGGCAUCUGGAGCUUCAGACUGGUGGUCUGCACAUCUCAAAACAGAAGCCAAGUCCUUAGAAAUUCCACAGGACUUGUACAUGCUGUAUUUUUUGUCUUUGAGAAAUAUAUGCUUACUCUGCUAUAAAUGAAGAAUAUUGCUUCAGAAGAAGACGGCUUUUCCUCUGUAUUCUGAUUGAUAUUACUGUUGACCACACAUAUUUUUACACCACAUAUACACACACACACACACACACACUUCCACACUUCUAAAUGGUCAUUUCUUUUUUUUUUUUUUUUCAGAUGGAGUCUCACUCUGUUGCCCAGGCUGGAGUGCAGUGAUGUGAUCUCGGCUCACUGCAAGCUCUGCCUCCCGGGUUCACGCAAUUCUCCUGCCUCAGCCUCCUGAGCAGCUGGGACUGCAGGUGCCCGCCACCACGCCCAGCUAAUUUUUUGCAUUUUUAGUAGAGACGGGGUUUCCCUGUGUUAACCAGGAUGUUCUCGAUCUCCUGACCUCGUGAUCCACCUUCCUUGGCCUCCCAAAGUGCUGGAAUUACAGGUGUGAGCCACCGCGCCUGGCCUCUAAAUGGUCUUCUACAACCUGGCCAGGCCAGAGCCUGGGGUCUGAACAGAUCUACAGAUAAUUCCUGUGUUCUACCGACUACACACUAGACUGUGAGCUGAGAAAGUUCCCAACCUGUGAAUGCUCGAUGGAAGUUGCAGGCGUCUGUAGAAGAAAGCUGCUGCCUUGUAAGGGAGUGGUGAAAGCCAAGCAAUAUGAACAGGACAUCAGAAGCUCCUACUAUUCCUGGUGUCUCUAACAAUUUGACUUUUCCCAGCAUUGUCACCUUGGAGCCACAGUAAUGUCCCAUCAGAAGAGCUCAAUCAGAGGAACACCAAUGCAAACUCACAAGCGGUACUGCCAAGCUCAGAAGGAACCUUUAAGUCUGGACUGCUCCCCACUCCAUGUUCCUGCUUAGCCUUCAGGUCUUUCUGUUGCUUGCUUUCUGUGGCUUCUUGUUUGUUGACACUCCUGAAGCCGUGCUUCCUUUUUAAAUGGCAUUUUAACACCAAUGUCCCCAGAUAGCCAUGGUACUCCCCUCGGCUGGAAUAUGCAGGGUGUAUGGGGUGGAAAAUUGUUGCAACUUAAAUUAGAAGCAUGAAAACAAUGCAGGAAAAUUCCAUCUGAGGCUGUGUCUCUUGCUUAGUAGAAAUCUCAGCUUUCAGAAGAACUGAUGCUCGUUUUGGUGAGCCAGUGGUGGCAAAGGUUUCACUCUGAUUUCACUUUCAUUGCCUUUGGAAGGUCUUAGUCAGCAUCUUGCCUCUGCUCAAAGACUCAAACCAAGAGUGCGAUGAGGGUUAACUGCACAGUGUCAUAUUUGUGUCACGACAGAUCGAUGAGCUCAUGGUUAAUUCGUUGACUGUCUGUUUCAAGCAGCCCUUUGGUUCAUCUGUUCCACUCUACCAGCCAGGCUCUGCCUUGCUUCUCCUACGACAGUUACUUGGACUCUGGUUUCAACUGCUGAUCAUGAUAAGGAUUCUAGUACAGAGGAUUCUCUGGCUGUUCCAUAUGCAUUCGUUAUUAUUAUUCAAUCACAUUACUGUUUAUUUUUACUCUCCACUUACUUAACUCAGAUGAAUUGGGAGAGGUUGGUAGAGCAUCCUCAAAGUUACUUCCAUCCCCACCUAUCGCCCUUUCUUGGCUAGGCAAGUGAUCUUUGAUAUCUAAUUUAUACCAUUAAAUACAUGAAAGUAGAAAAAUGAAAUAAAACCAGUAUUUAUAUCUUCCAUUCAAUAUUCUACCUACAAGAAUUUAAAAAGUCUGAAACACAAAUGUAUCUAAGAGACAACUAUACUAUUUUGAAAUGUCUUUAUAAUUUAAUAAAUUAUGGGCUUCAGUAGCUUAACUGAGAUAUACACUCCUCCCUAAUUCCUUCUAUUUCCUAUAUGUCCUGUCCCAGAAAUGCCACCCCAAUGAUACUACUAUGUUCGAUUCCCCACAUGCUUUGUCUGCAUGUUACCGAAGUCUUCAAGUCACUUCCUCUAACUUGAAUACCUACUCCCAAUUUGACUCCUCAUUGUGGCCUCCUCGUUCACAACACUUCUACCUAAUCUCUAGGUAGGCAACACAGAAGAGAGGUUGAAGAUGUGCAUUGGACUGAGAUAAAACUUAGGUUAGACAGCACUAGGUUCAAAUCACAGCUUUGCUGUUUGUUAGCUGCAUGACCUUAAACCAGUUACUGAAAACGCUGAGCCUCAGUUUUUUCAUCUAUAAAAUGAGACCAAAUGACCCAUUUAUUUAUUUACUAUUUCCUAUCUCCUAAUCUCCAUGCACAUUCCAAAGGAGUUCUAAUGUUUUCCAUCUUUGGCAUUAAAUCAAAGAUCUUACUUAUUUUAGUUGUGAAUGUAAACAAAAAGUUAAUAUCAUAAAAUAGGUGCUCUGACAGUCAUCACUUAAGAGGAAUUUGUAUACUUCAUGCUAAAAAGAAUCAGUUUCCAAAGCAAAUGCUGGUCUUCUUACUGAUCAUGUGCCUUGUCUUUACUUAUUCUAGAAAUCCCAAUCAAUUGACGGUUUAAGAAUAAAAUGUUCUACAACUUACAUGGAAUAUAUAUAUAUACAUACACACACACACACACACACAUACAUAUAUGCACGUAUGUGUGUGUGUGUGUAUAUAUAUAUAUAUAUAUUCAUAUAUUCCUACUUCACAGAACUAGUCAAGACCACAAGAGGUUCAGUAUCUACAAGCAAUACUAGAAAAACUUGGGUAGGCCAGUCCAUUCACUAGGAUACCAUACAGCCAGCAAAGGAGGAAGAGACCUGUUUGUUUCGGAAACUCCUGCUCCCUAAGGAACUACCAAGUCGAGGUGAAGGGAAGAACCACAGUUGUGUGUAGCAAUAGCAUGGUAAUGAAUCUAGCCUUUGACACUGACCCCAAGUUUGUGGACUAGCUGAGGUUAUGAGCCCCUCUGGGUUCCUUCUUGAGCCCGGUUCUGGGUUUUCCUACCAUAAAGGUCUUCAGAGCAGCCAUUGCAUCACCUGACACUAUUUUUCAUGGAGGCCCUAAUCUGUAGUCAGAGAUGCAACAACUCCACCAUCUAUUGGGGCCCUAUUGGGUGCAACGAGUUGUACAGGUGCUUAUGUAAAAUUAUGGUUCUCAUCAUUUUCACAUCAUGGUCUAUGUAGAAAGUGGCAAUAUUUUCACAGCACUCUGGUAUAAAUGGAUGAAGCUGCCUGGCUGGGGAAGACUGGCUCAGAGUUCC
rnacentral:lncRNA from 10 species